rnacentral:rRNA from 1 species
GUCCACGCCGUAAACGAUGGAUGCUAGGUGUUGUGGGUAUUGACCCCUGCAGCGCCGCAGUUAACGCAUUAAGCAUCCCGCCUGGGGAGUACGGCCGCAAGGCUAAAAACUCAAAGGAAUUGACGGGGGCCCGCACAAGCGGUGGAGCAUGUGGUUUAAUUCGACGCAACGCGCAGAACCUUACCUGGGUUAAAAUCCACCCGAAUCCUUCAGAGAUGGAGGAGUGCUCUUCGGAGAGCGGGUGAGAAGGUGCUGCAUGGCUGUCGU